UACGUAGGGUGCAAGCGUUGUCCGGAAUUAUUGGGCGUAAAGAGCUCGUAGGCGGUUUGUCGCGUCUGCUGUGAAAACUCGGGGCUUAACUCCGGGCCUGCAGUGGGUACGGGUAGACUAGAGUGCGGUAGGGGAGACUGGAAUUCCUGGUGUAGCGGUGAAAUGCGCAGAUAUCAGGAGGAACACCGGUGGCGAAGGCGGGUCUCUGGGCCGUAACUGACGCUGAGGAGCGAAAGCGUGGGGAGCGAACAGG
rnacentral:rRNA from 1 species